CUUGCCGGCAGCAGCGCCUCCCUCCCUCCCUGCCUGCCGCCGCCCGGAGCAGCGCCACCGACGGCUCCAUAGGCAGAAAUUCCAGCUAGGGCAUGGAACACAAGAAAGCUUGAGCAAAUCAUCAUGUGCAUGCUCAAAGGCUUAGUUAACAAGGGUGACAAUAAGAUGUGUGGACAAUUAAUUGCCAGGUGGCUAACUUGAUGGUUUUAUUGUUGUUGCAUAUGUGUGAAAUUUCUUUCCUCACUACCCUUGCUGGCAAAGAAAUAUUCAGUUAUUCUAUUUCAUAUUACACGUCCUGUUUCCUUUUAUUCUCUAUAUAUGCACAAAUUAUUUGAUGACAAUGACUCAUGGAUGGAAAUAAAACACCAACGGGAAUGAUGUACUCUUUUUA